rnacentral:rRNA from 1 species
AACGGGAGUAAGAACAACAGGGAUUGCCUUAGUAACUGCGAGUGAAGCGGCAAAAGCUCAAAUUUGAAAUGAGGCCCGUUGAUUGUCUGAUUAAUCAGCUCUCGACCCCUCAGUUGUAAUUUAGAGGAUUGCCAUGGUGAUAGCGCCCAUACGAAGUUCUUUGGAACAAGACACCAAUGAGGGUGAUAGUCCCGUCAGAUGAAAAAUGGUGCGCUACGGUGUCCGAUAUGGCAUAUCCGACGAGUCGAGUUGUUUGGGAAUGCAGCUCAAAAUGGGUGGUAAAUUUCAUCUAAAGCUAAAUACAGGCUGGAGACCGAUAGCGAACAAGUAGAGUGAUCGAAAGAUGAAAAGCACUUUGAAAAGAGAGUUAAAUAGUACGUGAAAUUGUUGAAAGGGAAGCGCUUGAGACCAGAUUCGGCUGGCGGUGUUCAUCCAUGCAAAUUUCUGCAUGGUGUAUGUGCCGUUGGUUGAGCCAGCAUCGGUUCUAAUGGCGGGAUAAAGGUUCGAGGAAUGUGGCUCCAAAAUUAUGCGGAGUGUUAUAGCCUUGAGUGCAAUGUCGCCUAUUGGAAUCGAGGACCGCGCUUCGGCUAGGAUGUUGGCUAAAAGGUCUUAAGCGGCCCGUCUUGAAACACGGACCAAGGAGUCUAACAUCUAUGCGAGUGUUUUGGCGUGAAACCAUUGCGCGUAAUGAAAGUGAACGAGGUGGGAACCCCAAGUUGGGGUGCACCAUCGACCGAUCCUGAAGUUUACGGAAGGAUUUGAGUAGAAGCAUAGCUGUUGGGACCCGAAAGAUGGUGAACUAUGCCUGAAUAGGGUGAAGCCAGAGGAAACUCUGGUGGAGGCUCGCAGCGGUUCUGACGUGCAAAUCGAUCGUCAAAUUUGGGUAUAGGGGCGAAAGACUAAUCGAACCCAUCCAAAUUCU